CGGAGAUUGCAGGUUGCAGCAGCGUCCCGCAAGAAGUUGAAGAGAAUGAGAAUGACCACAAUAUUGAAAGAGAGGAAACAUUGCUACUUUUUGAAGGUGCAAUAACUGAAAAUAAACACCAUCUUCGCUUCACACUGGAAAAGUUCCAAU